rnacentral:rRNA from 1 species
UGACCUGGCCUGAAGUGAGGGAUACCGGCGAGAAAUCGCCGACAAGCCCGCAUAGGUUCUUUUGCGUAGAGGCAAGAGAGCAAAGGUCCUCUGAAAGGAGGGCUGCUUUGGGAUGGGCCUGUGGCCGAUUAGCUAGUUGGGGGGUAAGCGCCUCCCAAGGCGACGAUCGGUAGCUGGUCUGAGAGGACGAUCAGCCACACUGGGAUUGAGAACGGCCCAG